GUUUCUAGAGCAGAGCAAUUGCAUAGGGAUGUGCAUCAAUCUAUGCAAGAUGCCAUCUCAAGCCUUUAUUAAGGAUUCUCUGGGAAUGCCUGUCAACAUGGUGCCUAAUUUUGAUGAUAUGAGCUGCGAGAUGAUUUUUGGUCAGGAUCCUCCAGCAUCAAAUGAUGAUCCAGCACUCAAGCAGCCAUGCUACAAAUUAUGCAGGGCAAACCAAAAGCACACAGUGAAGUGCUCCAGUUGAUGCAGAAGGAUAAAGAAGGCUAAUUUUUAAUAAGGUCUUUCAACACUGACAACAAAUGAUCCGAAAAUCUUUUCCAUACUGUUCAAUACAAAGCCUUG